UACAGAGGUGGCAAGCGUUGUUCGGAAUUACUGGGCGUAAAGGGCGCGUAGGUGGCCUUCUAAGUCAGACGUGAAAUCCCCCGGCUUAACCUGGGAACUGCGUCUGAUACUGGGAGGCUUGAGUAUGGGAGAGGGAUGUAGAAUUCCAGGUGUAGCGGUGAAAUGCGUAGAUAUCUGGAGGAAUACCGGUGGCGAAGGCGGCAUCCUGGACCAUAACUGACGCUGAGGCGCGAAAGCUAGGGGAGCAAACAGG
rnacentral:rRNA from 1 species